rnacentral:rRNA from 1 species
CCUACGGGAGGCAGCAGUGAGGAAUAUUGGACAAUGGGCGCAAGCCUGAUCCAGCCAUGCCGCGUGCAGGAAGAAGCAUCUAUGGUGUGUAAACUGCUUUUGUACAGGAAGAAACACUCCCUCGUGAGGGAGCUUGACGGUACUGUAAGAAUAAGGACCGGCUAACUCCGUGCCAGCAGCCGCGGUAAUACGGAGGGUCCGAGCGUUAUCCGGAAUCAUUGGGUUUAAAGGGUCCGUAGGCGGUUUAAUAAGUCAGUGGUGAAAUCUGGUCGCUCAACGAUCAAACGGCCAUUGAUACUGUUAGACUUGAAUUAUAAGGAAGUAACUAGAAUAUGUAGUGUAGCGGUGAAAUGCUUAGAUAUUACAUGGAAUACCAAUUGCGAAGGCAGGUUACUACUUAUGGAUUGACGCUGAUGGACGAAAGCGUGGGGAGCGAACAGGAUUAGAUACCCUGGUAGUCCACGCCGUAAACGAUGGAUACUAGCUGUUCGGAGCAAUCUGAGUGGCUAAGCGAAAGUGAUAAGUAUCCCACCUGGGGAUACGUUCGCAAGAUGAAACUCAAAGUAGUAAGUCGACGUGAGAGUAGCGACGAGCACGAGGGAGGUUAG